rnacentral:lncRNA from 1 species
AUGCUGAGUAAAACCUCUGCAAAACCAGCAGAAAUGCCAAGGGACAGCAUGCCUGCCUCUGACGAACACUGUUACCUUCAGCUGCUUCCUAUCUGCCGACUGGGCUUCAGGCAGGGCUUUUCUCUCUCCUCCAGUGACGAUGGCUUCUCCCCUGAUUUCAUUGGUCUGCCUGCAUCUGCGUCCCUUUCCUGUGGAAACUGGAGAUAUGGGCAGGAGAAAAGACAUAUUUGCCAGUUCAAAGUUGUUGCUUUUUCCCCUUGAAACAAAGAAGCAUUAUGAAGUCAACAAAACUGUUUCCACAUCAUGGAUAGAUUGGCAUGCAAUCUUCUCAAAAAGGUAUGAACUGUUGAAGCCUAGCUGCCAAAGGUUUUCAUAUAUUGUCUGUAUUCACAUGUGAACUUUGCUGAACUAAAAGGAGAAUGUACCUGACCCUA